CAGAAGCUAAGAUGAAUUUCUUCCAUAUGUUAGCCGUCAUAGCUUUGGUCUUGGCCAUUUUUAUGCACCAAUCGCGUGCUAAUUGGAUAGAUGAUAUUGGCGCAGAAGUGGAAAAAGCUGGCAAAGAAGUCGAAGAAAUGGGCAGAACUGUCGAAAAUAUGAACAAUCAGUUUUUAUACCAGCAAUAACAUUUGCUUCAUUCUUAUCAGAAAAUAUAAACUAAAAAAGAUAUUACUAAAAAUUAAAAGAUGUGAAGUACUCAAACAAAUUUAGGAACAUAUUUGACUGAACAAAUAAAUUUUUUGUUAACUUUUUUCAUUACAUAAAUUUAUCAACAAAUAUAUGUUUCUUCAAAAAACAUUUUUACAAGUUAGUAUAAAGUAUUUCUAUAGUCGGCAUUGCCCAAUUUCGCAAAUCUGUUUACUUCGAAUGGAAACAACUUAUUAAGCUGAUUAAAGUCAUAUAUGUAUGAAAAACAUUUUUAGAGCAAUUGCUGAUGUGUACUUUGCUUUGUGCUUAUAAAAAUAGAAGUCAAGAAAGCUGCAGUCAAUUUAAGAUAUAUAAACUAUUUAAUACCCUGCAUUGGGUAAACCGAAAUACACAGAGAUAAUUCAUAAACUCUAAUAAUGAAAUUUGUCAUUAUACUUUAAGAAAUUAUUGAGACCAAAAGAAUUUAAGGUGCAAAUUCCAAAUCUGAGCUCCUAAAGUUACAGGGUAUAAAAUCUUUGAGCAAGUGUUGCUUUCAUGACGAAUUGGCCUCACUUUUAUACCCUGCCAGCGCCUAUUAGGGAGUUUGACGAGCUGAGUAUAUAUAACCACAAGACUGGCUAUAUAGAAAUCAUUUAGCAUCUAUCUUCAUGAAACUAUGCAAAGAUCCAUUCUUUUAUAGCACAUUUCCCUAUAAACCUGUUAAGAUUUGUUCAAGCAUUUACUUUAAAUUUAUUGCCACAUUUGUUGCAAGGGUAUACAAGUUUCGGCAGCUCAGAAAGAAAAUUCUUUUCUUAUUUUUGGCAAAUGAUGCCUUAUCAGCAUCGUUGCGGCUGUUAAGCUAUUUAUUUAUACGCAGGCCAGAUAAGCCAGCAGUCGUCUAAUUCUAGUAGCAUCUGCAUCAUCUCUAGAUUGAAGAAAUACGCAAACUCAAUAUGAAUUACAAUAUAUUAGUCUUAAUUGCCGUCAUUUUGGCAGUCAAUGUGGAUGUGGCCAAGGCUAAUUUGUGGGACAGCAUAAAAGAUACAUUUGAAGACAUAAUUGACGCAAUUAAAGACUUAUUCUCAUAAGAUAAGUUCGUGCCAGUGUUAAAUGCAUUGAAUUGUAAACCAAAUAAUAUUUAAAUAAAAAAAUGGAAUUUCUCUUUAAAAGAAAUUC